rnacentral:rRNA from 1 species
CCUACGGGGGGCUGCAGUGAGGAAUAUUGGUCAAUGGACGAGAGUCUGAACCAGCCAAGUAGCGUGAAGGAUGACUGCCCUAUGGGUUGUAAACUUCUUUUAUAAAGGAAUAAAACGAGGCACGUGUGCCUUUUUGUAUGUAAUUUAUGAAUAAGGAUCGGCUAACUCCGUGCCAGCAGCCGCGGUAAUACGGAGGAUCCGAGCGUUAUCCGGAUUUAUUGGGUUUAAAGGGAGCGUAGAUGGGUUGUUAAGUCAGUUGUGAAAGUUUGCGGCUCAACCGUAAAAUUGCAAUUGAUACUGGCAGUCUUGAGUACAGUUGAGGUAGGCGGAAUUCGUGGUGUAGCGGUGAAAUGCUUAGAUAUCACGAAGAACCCCGAUUGCGAAGGCAGCUUACUAAACUGUGACUGACAUUGAUGCUCGAAAGUGUGGGUAUCAAACAGGAUUAGAUACCCUGGUAGUC